CACAGGAGCAGCCUACCUCUCAUCAGGCACAAGGGGCAUGUCUGCCUCAAGGCCUUCCUCAGCUUUCAAGGACAGCCUCAUGAGUAUUUCUUCUCUAGGCUUCCCUCAUCGUUUUCAUGAUCAUGUGAGUAGAUUCUGCAUGAUGAAGUGAAUGGUGAUGCAAUUUCUAGAUCAUAACAUAAAG
rnacentral:lncRNA from 1 species